rnacentral:lncRNA from 1 species
CUACAGUUCUGUGUUGUCUUACGGUGUAUUAGGUUAGUAAUUACGGCGUACGUUUAGUGCACGCCUUAAAUGUCAUAUUUUGCUCCUUUUAUUUCUUCGCUUCUAUUUUAACUUUCUUUCUUUCCUUUGUGAAGGAAAAGAAAAAUAAGUCAUUUUCUUCUCCUUCGAUUUCUUCUUGCAAUCACCGCCAUACCGCCGCCUUGUGAAUUUUAGGGGCCUCAUAAAAAUGGCCACCGAAUCCCGCAACAAAACCCGCUCAAUCCAAUCCCUCGAAACAUCUCGUUUUACCUAGGGCUAGAGGAAAAAUGGAAGAGCGAGAGAUUGAUUUAUAGAACGAGGAGGAUGUUGGAACCAGCCUGGUCGGAGCUUCUCCUUGCGGUGACGUCAUGAAGCUCUAGAUUAAAGUAGAUGAUGAGAUCGGAAAAGUUGUAGAUGCAGUCUUCAAGACCUUUGGAUGUGAUUCUGCCAUCGCCUCCUCCUCCGUAGGUUCGUAUAAAGCUAAGAAAUGAAUCUCAUUCUAUAUGCGUGUGUGUGUUAUUUUACAGUUUUAGUAAUUAAUUUUCGUGUUUCUGCAUAAUUCAUUUUAAUUUUUUCGGAGAAUUUUUCAAUUUUCUGUUGGUUAAUUCACGAAAGAAAAUCAAUGGUCCAGUGAAUUUAAGAUAUAGUGCUUGAGAUUGGAAAGUCUGAUAUUUCUGGGAUUUGGAGGUGUUCCCUGGUAAUUAGAUUUUAAGAAAAAGAUAUUUAGAAGGAUUUUCAUUCAGCGACGCUGUUUUAAGAAUUGAAGAAAGAAUAUUUCAAGAAUCAAUGGUUUCUGCUGCUAUGGAUACACAGGUGAAUGAAAAUUUAAGUCUUAGUCUCUUGAUUUGGUAUUUUUAUUGAGAAAUUUGGAAAAGAAAAUUUAGACUAUUGUUGAUUUAGAGAAAUUGCUUUUCAAUUAAUAAUUAGUACGUUUCUCUAGGCACAAAUAUUCGAACACCUAUAUAACUACUACGUUUGAUGCCAAUUUUAUUGUUAAAUUUAUAGUUGUGAAUAUUUUGUUAUUUGUAAGCGAAAGGGAAAAAAAUCCAGUAUUUUCCAUGUUCAGCUACUGAACUUGCUUGAGCUACUUAUGAUAUGAAUAAAUUAGUAGUUUUUGUUCUCCGAGAAUUGUGGUGUUGAUUUAUAUGUUUCACCCUGUACAGAAAUGUGGUAGGUGGUGGCUUCUUGUGUAAUCUGGGAUUGCGCCAUAGGUUUUUAUCAGUAUAGAAUUGAAAUUUUCUGUGUAUAAUUUACCCCAAAGAAGAAAUGAUACAUGUCUUCUCGGUUUGUCUUUAUAUCCAAAGAAAAUCUAAUAACAAUUACAAUUCAAACUUUGGAACUCUGUUUCGUUGAAUUACUUGAUCUGAAAAAAAAAAUUCAUCUAUCAUCUGGAUUUUUUUUUUUUUAGUUUAUGUUUAUUAACCUGAUAUUAAGGAUUAUUUGGGCUGAGAUCUAGCCUCAGAUAUUGCAUUAUAUAACUUACAACAUGUUUUGAAGUGAUGGAAUAUGAAGAUGUAUAGCGAAAAGGUAAAUCGAAACCGAGUUGCCUGAAAAAAAUUUCGGCCUACGUUGACGGGCAGAAUUUUUAGUUGUGAUUAUUUUAGAGAAUUUUCAACUUGUUCAAAUACUUUGUGUGUUGUAUCAAGUGAUACAUUGUGGUUUAAUGAUUUUAGAUUGUAUUAAAUCACCAACAGGAAGCAAAAGCAAUUAGGCGAAAGAGAAAAAUCCUUCGAAUGAUUGAGUUUUUACCUUUUAAAUAUUGAUGCAUCAAUGGAAGUGGCGAAUUUAUAUACAAUUUACCUGCACUGCCUAGAAACCCCGCAUCUACUGUUUCAUUUAAUUCCAACAUUACAUUUCCAUAUGCUCUAAGACUCAGUUUCUUCCAUUGCAUUCAGUAACAAACUUUUGAAUGCCUGAAUGUUUCAACAAGUCACUAUGAAAAAUAAGUUCAGAUAAUUAGCGUCAAUGACUUCUACAAAAAAUCUAGAAUUAGUAAAUAGUUAUAAUUUUUAUUGGUAUAUAUAUUUUUGUUUUUCAGUUUUACAUGUUUGUCACUAAUUUUUAGAUCUGUGUGACUGCAGAUCAUUCUACUAAUUUUUAAUUGAAAAAGCACUCAUGGCGAUCCCAACUAGACACCUGAUUCAGGAUCAGAAUCUCAAUAUCCGUUCUAAUGGUAAGUGCUAAUUUUAAUCUUUGGUAUUAAAAUCGUCUUUUGGCAUUCAGGGCCAGAAUUUCGAUAUCCUUUCUAAUGGUAAUUGCUAAUUUUAAUAUUUGGCAAUAAAAUUGUCUUUUGGUGUUUCUUGGUUAGGCAUCUGCUAACAUAUUGAUGUCUUGUUUAAAUCCUACUCUUGGGGGGUAAGACUGGUGUCACCAAGGCAGAUAAGAAAGGAGGGCUCGGUGGAAGAAAAGCUCUUAAUGACAUAUCAAACUCAAUAUCCUUUGGUAUUCAGGCCAGAAUUUCAAUAUUCUUUCUACUGUGCUUCGAACGAAGGAAGAUUUUAGUGUGUCAAAAACUAAGUCUGUUGUUGGGGGGAAAAUGGGUGGUUGAAAAGCAGUUGGUGAUCUUAUGAACUCCGUGAAGCCAUCCUUGCAGGUAGUUCCAAAAAGGGUCAAAAGUUGAAUCCCGAUAAAAAAACGUUUGCUACACUUUCAAUUCCCUUUUCUGGUAGAAUAUUUUGUACUAUUUUAGUAAGUUAUUUUUGGAGUAGUAAUCGAUACUUUUUUGGCACAUUGAUAUCAACUUUUGACUAGGCUAAUAUUGUUCUUAGUAAUCAUUUAGAUUAACUCUACAUUUUGGUAUAUUGUAUUUGAUCGCACUUAAUACUUUUAUUUAUUGGAAUUAUGGAAAACAUGAUUAUAUUAUAUG